rnacentral:rRNA from 1 species
CAGCCGCCCGGGAAUACGAAGGGUGCAAGUGUUAAUCGGAAUUACUGGGCGUAAAGCGUACGCAGGCGGUUUGUUAAGUCAGAUGUGAAAUCCCCGAGCUUAACUCGGGAACUGCAUUUGAAACUGGCAGGCUAGAGUCUCGUAGAGGGGGGUAGAAUUCCAGGUGUAGCGGUGAAAUGCGUAGAGAUCUGGAGGAAUACCGGUGGCGAAGGCGGCCCCCUGGACGAAGACUGACGCUCAGGUACGAAAGCGUGGGGAGCAAACAGGAUUAGAUACCCCAGUAGUCCCUGUCUCUUAUACA